rnacentral:rRNA from 1 species
GACGAACGCUGGCGGCGUGCCUAAUACAUGCAAGUUGAGCGCUGAAGGUUGGUACUUGUACCAACUGUGUGAGCAGCGAACGGGUGAGUAACGCGUGGGGAAUCUGCCUUUGAGCGGGGGACAACAUUUGGAAACGAAUGCUAAUACCGCAUAAAAACUUUAAACACAAGUUUCAAGUUUGAAAGAUGCAAUUGCAUCACUCAAUGAUGAUCCCCCGUUUUAUUAGGCUAUUGGUGAAGGAAAGGCCUACCAAAGCGAUGAUGCAUAACCGACCUGAGAGGGGGAUCGGGCACAUCGGGAAUGGGAAACGGCCCAAACUCCUACGGGGGGCCGCCGUAGGGAAACUUCCGCAAUAGACCAAAGUCUGACCGAGCAAAGCCGCGUGAGUGAAGAAGGUUCUCGGAUCGGAAAACUCUGUUGGUAGGGAAGAACGUUAGUGAGAGUGGAAAGCUCAUCAAGUGACGGUAACUACUCAGAAAGGGACGGCUAACUACGUG